GACCCCUUCGUCUAGAGGUUAGGACACCACUCUUUCACAGUGGAGACACGAGUUCAAUUCUCGUAGGGGUCGCCA
rnacentral:tRNA from 1 species